AUUUGCGCACUGAGCAACUGAACGGAAUGAACAAGACCCUGUCUGCGGACUCUGCGUGGGGGAUGAUGAUCGGAAUGGAAGUGGAGUGAACGGAGCACUCUUCCAAUACACAGCCACGCUUACACUAGACUUCCCUUCCGAAGAU
rnacentral:sRNA from 1 species